rnacentral:lncRNA from 1 species
UGGGCUCUUAUUGAAUAAUGGUGAAGCACCCAUGAAAUGCUUAGGAUGAUUAUGAGAAGGUAACCCAGAGCUUCUGAACAGAGACAAGAAUGUGGGAGCAUCAAGCUCAGUCAGAUUAAAAUGAGCACCACUCAGGGAACACGAACACUUCACUACUGAAUACUGCUAACAAAGGCCUCGCUUCUGCAGUGAGCUGUGUGGGAAUGCCUUUGUGCACUGGGUCCACUGAACUUUGAGGAUGCCAAACUCCUGACAAGAGAGGACCCCGUUAUUCCCGUUUCUCCGGAACAGAAUGGCCAGUGUCAGUAGGAAAUUUGCACACAGACUGCCAGGUCUGGUUGACUGUUGGGGAAGAUUCACAACUAUGAAUGUAGGAAACGAUUCAGAAAUGCUCCAGGCAUCAGUCAUUUAUGCGAGACGUAAGUUACCCUCUAUUUAUUUGGCUUAUGCAGCCUUUCACUGGAUACUUAAAUAGGAGAAAGGAACUAAGCAAGUGGCAGAAUGACAGUGGAAUCGACAUUUUGAAGACUUAAAGGUAAAUUGAAC